rnacentral:lncRNA from 1 species
GCCCUGCUGCCCUGUAGUCCUGCUGGGGUGCCAUACCUGUUGCCCUGACGCCCUGCAAGAUCUGCAGCCCUGCCUCCCUGCUGCCCUGUAGCAUUGCUGCCCUGCUGCCCUGCUGCUCUUCUGCCCUGCAACCCUGCCUACCUACUGCCUUGCAUCCCUGCCGCACUGUGAGGCUUGUAGCAUUGCCGCCCUACACCCUGAACCCUGCAGCCCUGGGAGGCCUGUAGCCCUGCAGCCCUGCUGCUCUUCAGCCCUUCUGCCCUGCUGUCCUGCAUCCCUGAUGCCCUGUUGCCAUGCAGCCCUCCGAGGCCUGCCACCCUUCCACCCUGCUGCCCUACCUCCCUGCAGCCCUGCCGCCCUGGUAGGCCUACAGCCAUGCCGCCCUGCUGCCUGGCCACUCAGUGACCCUGAGAGGCCUGCAGCCCUGCCGCAAUGCUUCCCUGCUGCCUUGCCACCCUGCUACCCUGCAGCCCUUCCAGCAUGCUUCUCUGCAGCCCUACUGCCCUGCUGCCCUGCAGCCCUGCUGCCCUGCAAGGCCUGCAGCCCGGUCACCAGUGUCACCCACCCGGCCUUUAAGGUUUCUGAGCAGACACUGGACCCUGACCUGACUGGACGCUGCCUCCUCCGGCUCCCUCUCACUUACAGCUUGCAAUUCAGAGUGAAAAACAAUCUCAGAAAAAGGAGACCUGUUGGCCAGAGGACCACACUUGCCCAAUUGCUCACCAAGCCAUCCAAGAAUAUCGAAGAUCUGGAGUGCUCAAGACUUCCUUGCAGGCAGAUCCCAGGCACACAAAAGAAGAAAAGAAAGCCACUGUGCUAAUAUUAGACCCUGGAGGCUUCUGUCCCAGGAGAAAUGAGGAGUUUGUAGGUCAAUGGAAUUCCAGUGUGUGCAUUUGGUCUCUGGGCUGUCUGGCAUUCCUAUGGUCUCAGCGAGGGAAUACAUUUCUCGUUCUCUGAGAAAAGCAACCCCAAGAGGAGAAUCUGAACAUAUUCCACAAAAAAGGAAUCCACAGCCAUUCAACAUUAUUGGAACAUCUCAUUUGUCUGUCUUUCUUUUGAAAGCAAUUAACCCAACAGACAUUCAGCAUUUCCAUCUGAGGUAGAGAGAGUUGUUAAAAAUGACAUCUCUGUGACCUUGAAUUUGGAAUGUAUUUCAGAGGCAAAGAUGCCAACUGAUUGUCAUUCCCAGAGAGAGAAAUUUAGUAAAAAAAAAAAAAAAUGACUGAGAGGACUUCAAAAUUAGACCAAUGUGAAAGCUUUGGAGGUGAAUCAGGGGAGUAUAAGUUUUGUUUUGGAGAAUGAAAGCCAUUAUUCAAACCAAAAAUAAAAUAGUUCCAUUCACUAACA